rnacentral:lncRNA from 1 species
AGGAACAUUCAGAACUGAAAUUACAAAAUAUUUCUAUAACUAAUUAUGCCCCAUUUGGUUUCUUCGUUAAACUUUUAACUCCUAUCACAUCGAAUGUUUAGACACAUGCAUGAAGUAUUAAAUAUAGACUAUUUACGAAACUAAAAACACAGCUAGAGAGUAAUUUGUGAGACGAAUCUUUUAAACUUAGUUAAUCCAUGAUUGGACACAAUUGUCAAAUAAAACAAAAUGCUACAGUACCUAUUAAACUUUAACACCCAAAACCAAACACCC